AGCAUCGCCACGGGAAUACGAAGGGGGCUAGCGUUGCUCGGAAUGACUGGGCGUAAAGGGCGCGUAGGCGGCGAUCAAAGUCAGGCGUGAAAUUCCUGGGCUCAACCUGGGGGCUGCGCUUGAUACUUGGUUGCUUGAGUGGGGAAGAGGGUCGUGGAAUUCCCAGUGUAGAGGUGAAAUUCGUAGAUAUUGGGAAGAACACCGGUGGCGAAGGCGGCGACCUGGUCCUUGACUGACGCUGAGGCGCGAAAGCGUGGGGAGCAAACAGGAUUAGAUACCCCAGUAGUCCCUGUCUCUUAUACA
rnacentral:rRNA from 1 species